AACCCCUGUCAGAAUGGUGGCGCGUGCACUGACGGACUUGCCACUUACACGUGCAACUGUUUGUCCGGUUACACGGGAGCUACAUGUGCUACAAACAUCAAGUGUUCCUCCACUCCGUGUCGAAACGGGGCUACUUGUAACGAUGGUGUCAUUGGAUAUACGUGUUCGUGUGUUGUUGGGUUUACCGGUAUCCACUGUGAGACAAACAUAAAUGAGUGCAU